GUUUAUAAUGAUCAUAAAAGGACAGCUAACAAGGUGACUUUUCGUGGCUCAGAACAGAACAUGUUACUUUCAGGAAGUCAGGAUGGGACUAUGAAGUAUUUUGAUAUCAGAAUGAAAGUUGCAGUCAUGACAUUCGCCAGCAACGCAGAGAGUGUACGAGAUGUGCAGUUUAAUCCAUACCAGUGUUUUAGUUUCGCC